rnacentral:lncRNA from 1 species
UUUUUUUUUUUUUUCUGCAAAAAUAGGAGAGAGGGGAGUCUCCGUCAUGGUGCAGCAGAAACCAAUCUGACAAGGAACCAUGAGGUCGUGGGUUUGAUCCCUGGCCUCGCUCAGUGGAUUAAGGAUCCGGCAUUGCCGUGGCUGUGGUGUAGGCCAGCGGCAACAGCUCCAAUUAGACCCCUAGCUUGGGAGCCUCCAUACGCCUCAGGUGUGGCCCUCAAAAGACAAAAAGACAGAAAAAAUAAAAACAAAAAAAUAGGAGAGAGGUUGAGACGAUAGAUUCUGAUGUCAUACGGCCCCGAGUCUGACAUCAAUGCUAGGUCCUGUGUGACCUUGGGCAAGUUAUUUAACCUCUCUGACCCUCAGGGGGCCUCACCUGGGUAUUAUGAAAAGACCUAGGUGAUAAGGGCAUUGGAGGAUUCAGCGGGAGAAGCCAGUUCUUGGCAAAUGAUGUCAGUGAGUGGACAUCAUGACAAUGCUGCUAACCAAACGCAAACUCCCUUCAGACUUUUCUUUUUUCAUCUCUAGGUCACCUGGUUCCCAGGUAACCGCCAUCUGGAGACGAGAAAAGCAUUCAUGAGAGUUUCCAUCGUGGAGCAGUGAAAAGGAACCCGACUAGAAUCUAUGAGGAUGCGGGUCUGAUCCCUGGCCUUGUGCAGUGGGUCGGGGGUCUGGCAUUGCUGUGAGCUGCGGCAUAGGUCUCAGACGCACCUUGCUGUGGCUGUGGUGUAGGCCAGCAGCUAUAGCUUUGAUUCGACCCUUAGCCAGGCAACUUCCAUAUGCAGCAGGUGUGACCCUGAAAAGAAAGAAAGAAAAAAAAUAAAAAGAAAAGCAUUCACCACUGAAAGCCAGGGAUUCCUCGGCACCCCCCAGGGGCCACCUGCUGAGGGAAAGCUGAUACCACGGAUCUAAACCUCACUAGGCUUCCUCAUUCUAUUAAUCUGGCCAUAAAGCAGAGUCCCGCAGACAAGGACAGAUGCGGAGCUUUGCCGUGCCAAUGGCAGAGGGUGUUAGAAGAAGCCUCAGCAGCCACUCAAGCCACCUCCUCCAACUCAGAACAGCUGCUCGGGGACAGAUUCGCCAAGCAGGAGGUGGGGGCUGAUGCAGUGACUACUAGGGAGACAGGGCAAGCCGGGCUGUUGCCACAUGAAAUCCAGGGGUCAGGCCCACCUGUGCCCCUGUGCUCCAGGUCGGAACAGAGAGUGCCUUUCUCCGGAGCAAAGGGCACUGGAGGGAGGAAGCAGGAACUGACCUCGGGCUCAAGUAUGUCCGCCACCUGCCUCUGCAUGGCUGGCUCUUCCAAGUUCAGCCACAUCUGCCGUCCUGCUCGUGCCAUGUGGGUAAUGUUUGGGGUGCCACGUUCUGCCAGAAAACCUUUCCCUGCUCCUCUCGUCUGACCUCCCUGCAGGCAGCAGCCAAUCCCGUUGUGAGUCCCAGCAGGCUGAGGCCCGGCAUCCAGGCAGAUCUGGCCACGGCCUUGUGCCAACAGUUACAAAAAAACAUUUGCACUUUGGCUGAGUUCCAGUGUCUCUUGAAUGUGGGAAAUCAGAACUCGGAGAAAGACAAUAACUUCCUACAGUUCCCCAAAGACCGAGCACCAGAUGAGACCAAUGGAGUGUUGGCUGGAGACAAAUGGAGCCGCUUCCCUGAUGGCGUGACAUCAACGCAGAAAACCCACCUUGUGCCACGGGUGGCUACGGACCAGGGCUGGGGUCUCUGAGAGGUCAUUGUGGAGGGUUGAGCUGUUACACUCCCAGCAUGCUGGCCGGAACCGAGGGCAUGUGACUGUUCUUUUCCAAGGAGGUUUUGAAGGGCUGGUUGGGCCAUAUCCAUAGUGAAAGAUAGAGCAAGGCCAAGGACGGAACCAUCCAGAACCACCCAGAGCCAUCCAUCCAGGCUACGAGCACUCCACCCCAGUGAGUUUUGGCUUCCAGAAUUCUGGGCACAGACUAUGUGCCCAGGGUUUGAGCCUGUACGUUUUCUUUCUGGGCAGAGACUGACAAAGAAGAGAAAGGCCAGCAUUUUAAGAACGCACCCUAGAAGUUCUCUCCUAAGCGUGGGGAGUCACAUUUCCCAAAGUGGGGCACACCUACCUCUGAGAGUCCUCUGGGAUGGUUUUUGAGGGCACCGAAAGGAGCUUUUCAAUAUUAUGAAUUUAAGAUUUAAUGUUUUGAAAAAAUAUCUAACUGGCAUGUCAAAGGUGUGAUUUCAGCAAUAUGGUUCCUCGAGAUAGCGUUUCUCAACCUCGGCCCUGCUGACAUUUCGGGCUGGAUAAUUCUUCCUGUGGGGACGUCCCGCGUCUUGUAGGAUGUUUAGCAGCCUCUCUGGCCUCUACUCACCAGAGACCAGUAAGUAACCACCCCCGCUCCCUGGCAAGGUGAGGUAAACCCAAAUGCCUCAACAGGGCUAAACGCCCUCUGAGGGCCAAAGACACCCCUGAUGGGGAACCGCUAGCUGAGGCCAAGUCUCCUUCUGAAAGGAAAGUAAGUGAAUUUAGGAGAUCCGGCUGUGGUGUAAGGGGACGGGCGGGUCUCUGGGAGCGCUGGGACCCAGGUUCUAGUCCUGGCCCAGCACAGGUGUGGUGCAGCUGUGGCAUAGGUUUCAACGGUGGCUCAAAUCUGAUCCCUGGCUUAGGAGCUCCAUACGUUGCAGGCGGCCGAAAAAAGGAAGGAAAAAAAAAAAAAAGAAUACAAUAAAUAUGUUCAUUUAAAGGGAAAUGUAUUUUUAGGUGACUUAUUCACACAUGGCAAGCACGGCUGAGGUGAUGAGGGAACGGCAGAAGUUGGGGAAAACCAGAGCAGAGGAGGGUCCAUCAGGGGCUGCGCACUGGGCGUUUGGCCCCUCAAAGUCCCACCCGCUGCCCCUUCCUGCCAGCUCUGCUGUCUGGUCAGCCCUGAAACCGACGCAGGGAAAAGUGGGGGCGGGGGUCAACCAGAGGCCAGCCGAGCACAGAGAGCCCCUGAGAACCUACUCUGCCCACAACAUCAGGCCCUCCUGAUGGAGGAAGGAGGAAGGGGUGGGAUGAGGCUGCUCCUCAUUCCCCUGGGGAAGUCCAGGGCAGAGAUGCCAGGGAGGGGGUCGAAGGGUGGGGGGCCUGUGGUCCUUGGCAACGAGCAAACUGCAAGAGUCACUGAGGAGCCUGGAGAUGCUCAGAGACAUUGGCCCAGCUGACACCCUGAGCUGUGGGGCGCUGGAUGGAAUGAGUCAUCCAAAGAUACGCCCCCUUCACGUCCUAUCAGAAACCCAACAGUUCUAUGGGUUUGAAACACUCGUACUGGAAUUCUCAUUGUGGCUCAGAGGAAACAAACCCGACCAGUAUCCAUGAGGACUCAGAUUCAAUCAGUGGGUUAAGGAUCCGGCAUCCCUGUGAGCUGUGGUAUAGGUCACAGACGUGGCUCAGAUCCUGCGCUGCUGUGGCUCUGGUGCAGACUGGCAGCUCUGUAGCUCAGAAUGGACCCCUAGCCUGGGAACUUGCAUGGGCCGCGGGUGUGGCCCUGAAAAAGUAAAUAAAUAAAUGAAACACUAAUAAUGCUAAGCACUUAGUAUGCACCGAUGACCUUUUUCUGUUUUCAUGUAGAACUUCCUGGGCCAGGGAUCAAACCCACACCAAAGUAGUGACAACACCGGACCCUUAAAUUCUAGGCCACCAGGGAACUCCUGUACCAUCACUUUGUAGAGACCAUUUCCUGUAAGUCUCACCACCGCCCUACAGGGUAGGCACUGUCCCUGUGGCGAUAAUAUUCCAGAGGGAAAGAUGGGGGCUGAGACAUUCUGGGGUUCCACCUGUGGCUGCUGGACCCACAGCUGCGCUCUGUCCCAUCUCCCAGGAAAGCAGAAAGUGCACAGUAAGGGCCAGGCCGUCCUCACAAGGCUCGCUGUCACCUGCCCCACAAGGCCACGCCUCCGUGAUGCAGACCCCUCGGAACAGCCCACUGUGCCAGCAGACCCAAGGAUGCCAGGAAUUGCCAAGGGGAGAAAGUUCUCCAAACUCAAGACAUGAAAGAGCAGCCGGCCCCUCGCUGUGUGCCUCAUCUGUCACCUCCUCGUGAUGGCUGGGCGGAAGAAAAGGGCAGAGGAAAACUCAAAAGGAACGGGUCCGGUUCUUCCCACGCUGCUUUCAGAACCUGGCUGCACACACGCAUGUGCACACUCACUCAUAUGCAAUCAGCUGGGGUGUGAACACACACCUGCAGGCAGGUACACAUCCCUACAGGGCAGGAGGGCGGCAUCAUGUGUCCGUCCAGGCUUUCCGAGUUCUGGAGCCCAGCGGAGGCAGAAACACGCCCCAGAGAACUCUUCCAGAAGCAUCAGGGCAGAAAAAGUGACAGAGACCAUGGGAAGGUACUGACCUGGGUCUCCAGGGUGAUCACAGGGCUUGGCUGUGGGUCCUGCGGGAAGAAAGGAGAAAACGCAUGUGAGUGGCGGGGAAAAUGCAACUGACUGCCCCACCAUCAGUUCUCAAACAAAGCCACUUCUCUUGAGUGACCCCAGCAAGCCCACGGGGAGGGUGGCCCCACACUGUCGCCCCUACCCCAGGAGACAGAAGGACAGCCUGGCCCAAUCUCCCCACACCCACACCCCCUCUCACACCCAGAGGAUGAAGGAGGCUCAAAUCGUUCACUAAGGGGUUAAGGGGACACCUGCACAGAGACCACGCAAAACGAUGAAGCCUAAAGAAGUAAGAAGCAAAGGCCCCUCGCCGAGGGUCUCAGAGUGUGUUCAGAUCAUCGAUGGGGAGGAGAAGAUGGGUCCUUGAGAGGAUUAGAAAUAAACCUGAAAGAAUGUAAAGUCCCCACGAAGAGCAAGGCCACCACUUUGUGUCUGAUCUUGGAAAGAAUGAGGGAAGGAAUGAGACAGAGAAAAAGAAGCGCUUGAUUCCUGGUCUGUGCAGCACAUUCCAUGGGCCCGGGAAGGUUCCUUUCAGGAGGGAGAAGGCAGGCCAGAGAAAGUCCCAUUCAUUCACUGGCUACAAAAGCCAAUUGACUGGAAAUGCUUAGUGGUCAGGUCUCUCGGGUCGUUAAACAUGAACUCUUGGGUGGGGGCAGGGUGGGUACAGCGGAGGAGGGGACGGAUGGGGAGGAGACAGUGGUUACCAGCAAGUGGGUUCCAAAGAAAACAGGAAACUUGGCACAUAAAGGCUAUUUUUGUCUGCACCAUGUCGGCUCUAAACGGAAUCAUCUUAGAUUCAUGAUCCUGGGAAAGUAACCUCACGCUGCCUCUUACAGAGAAUGGGCAUGAUUUUAGGGCCCCGACGUGCAAACUGAGUUGGAAGUUUUACUUUAUCCAAGCAGAACUUCUAACACAGGCUUCAAGGAAGUCACGCCAAUUAGCCCCGGCCCACCGGCCUAUGCUGUGGACAAUAAGGAAAUGUGCAAAUCGUGCCGUAAUUGUCUUUCUGCAACUGGGCUGGUUUUACUCAGCAUGACAUCUGUAAGGUUCAGCCCUGUUGUCACAAAUGACAGGAUUUCUUUCUUGCUCUAAGGCUGAAUAAUAGUCCACUGAGCAUGUACAUAUAACACAGGUUCUUUAUCCAUCCCCCUGUCAAUGCACACAUAGGUUGUUCCCAUUUUGUGGCUGUUACCAAUACGGCUACGAGGGACAUGAGAGCACAGAUUUCAUGAUUCUGAAACCGAACAACGCAGUUGGGACUUGAACCCACGGGCUAGGACUUAAACCACGUCAAAACCCAGAUUGGGACUUGAAUCCACGGUCUCUGAAUUAAAAUACACACCCGGACUCAGAACUUACUGAAAUCUCAGUGCAGGAAUUCAGCGAGAGGCAAAUAGGUAAGAAGGAGAUGUACUGCUAGAGAGACACACGCCAUAGACAGAGUGUGGGCCAUCUCAGCAGGCGAGACAGCAGCCCUGAAAUACGGGGUGCCGAGUUUUAAUGGGCUGGGUAAUCUCACAGGCCAAUGAGUGGGAGGGUUAUUCCAACUAUUUCAGGGAAGGGGCAGGGAUUUCUAGGAAUUGGGCCACCGCCCACUUUUUGCCCUCUUAUGGUCAGCCUUGGAGCUGUCCUGGCACCUGUGGGUGUGUCACUUAACAUAUGUUAAUGUAUUAUAAUGAGUGCAUAAUGAGGUAACAAGGCUUAAGGUCCACUGGAAGUUGAAUCAUCUGCCACUUUGGACCCACCCAGUUAUUGCUGUAACUCCGAUGGCUGUGGCAUUCUUUUAAAGGCUGUGCCCUGCUCCCCUCCCUCCUGUUUCAAUUCCACUUACACCAGGUACCUAAUAGAAACUCUCACAGAAACAGAGUAGAGGGGUGGUUGGCAGAGGCUGAAGGGAGAGGGAAACGGGCAGCGGAUGUUCAAAGGGCACAAAGUUCUGGUCACACGAGAUGAAUAAGUUCCAGAGUUCUGCUGUACAACGGUGCCUGGAGGUAACAAUGUGUAUUGUACACUGAACAUUUUGUUAAGAGGCUAGA